AUGGAACACACUACUCCCUCCUGCUCUGCUCCCGACCACGGCGGCGACGGCGACGGCGGCGGCGAGGUGACACCGAACGGCAUCAAGGUGCUAUUCUCCCCGGCCGACAUGCUCGCCCCGUCAGUCCGCUGGAAAUGGAACUGGAAGCAAGCGCCACCCACAAGACGGCGGCGACGGCGACGGCGAGGAGACGCUCGUCUUGCAGUCCAGCUGCUCAGCUACCUGACCGGCAUGGUCGCCCCCGGCGCCCUCUCCUCCGUCCGCUGGAACUGGAACUGGAACUGGAACUGGAAGCAAGCGCCACUCACCUCAACAGGUCGUACAUCCUUGCAUCUGAUGGGAAUGUACGUGGCGCUCCGUGCGGCGCAAUGGGUGGUGGGCAAGGCACUAGCCCCCGUUGCCAAUGGCAUGCUAGGGGCUUGGGCAGCCACCAAGAACUUUGGUCCCAACGUCGAUGCCCUCAGCACGGAGUUGCUGCUUGUGAAGGCCACGCUUGAGCAAGCUGCCUACAAGGAGCUUGGAGGCCCGGCAAUGGAGAUGCUGCUGCAGAAGCUGCGGGACUCGGCGCAGAAUGCUGAAGACUUGUUGGAUGAGCUGGACUACUUUCGCAUCCACGAUGAGCUCCAUGGCACGCACGAUGCUGCCGACCAGCACGGCGAAGGUGGCGUGCACAACCUCGCCCUCAAUGCUCGGCACACCGCCAAAGCUGUUGGCAAACUGGUCAACUGUUGCCCUUGGCAGCGUUCUAAGCGCCGACAGAGCUCACACGACGAUUCCUCCUCAGCGCAAGAUGCCAAUCAGGUGGUCAGGGGAUGCAUGCCCAAGCUCGGUAAACUCCUACCUUGCACAUUUUCCCCACAUUCACAUGUUCAUGGUGAUGAUGACGAUCAUGGCAAUGGGCAAGAAACACCAAAACUUGAGUUUAAUAGGGUUGAUUUCUCUCAAAGGAUGAAGGAUACUGUAGGGAAACUGCAGCUUAUGCGUAAUGAGAUUAACAAGAUUUUGCAGGGUUGUAGCCUUAGAACUGUCUCAAAUAUAGCCCAGAGCCGUCCCAUCACCAAAGGUCGAAUUGAUGAGCCAAAAUUGUACGGGAGGGACCGUGUCAUGAAUAGCACCAUACAUGAUAUCACCAAUGGUCAGUACUGUGGCAAGGGGCUAACUGUGCUUCCGGUUGUUGGUCCAGGGGGAGUGGGGAAGACAACUUUGAUACAACACAUAUAUGACAACCAACAAGUGCAGGAUCAUUUUCCAGUCAUGAUUUGGAUAUUUGUGUCCCUCGAUUUCAAUCUGGAUAAGGUUGCAUCACAUGAUUGUCUUAGUUUACAUCUCCCUAAUGAUGGAUCAGUAGAAGUUCAGCCAUCAAUCCGUCACUUGUCUAUAAGCACAGAGGACUUAGUGAAAUAUGAUGCAGUGUCCAGUGAAAAGUUAAGGAGUGAAUUGGAAGAAAUAAAGACGAGAUUGAAGGUUGAACAUUUGCAUACACUGAUGUUAUUUGGAAAAAUGGAUGAAAGUUUUUCUGAGGUAUUUGGUGAUUUCUUUGGGGAAGCAAACGCUCUUCGUGUUCUUUAUUUGCCCAACAUGAUGUAUCCUGUGCAGUCCAUGUUACAUAACUUUUCAGGACUUGUCCACCUACGAUGCCUAUGUCUAGGGACAAGGGUGAGACAGAUGCAUUUACCAAUUAGCAUCUCCAAAUUCUACCAUUUAAGGAUUCUAGACCUUGUGUCAUGGGAAGGGAGUCGUGAUUUGCCUGAAGACAUGAGCAACCUUGCAAAGUUGUGCCAUAUUCAUAUUCGUUUUCAUCAGCGUCAUUCUGAUAUUUGUAAUGUGGGGAAAUUUAAACUCUUGGAAGAGUUAAAUGUAUUUCGAGUCCAUGAAGAAAGUAAAGGAUUUGAACCAAGUCAACUAGAGCAUUUGACCAAGCUAAGGGAGCUUGGCAUCUACAACCUUGAGAAAAUACAUACAAUAGAAGAAGCAGCUGAAGCAAAACUGAUAGAGAAAAACUACUUGAAGAGGUUAGCAUUGGUUUGGGAUAGUGGGCGCUCUAGUGUUGAGCCUGUUAUGGAAGCAUUGGUUCUUGAGAGCCUUCAACCCCAUGAAGAUAUCCAAGUGUUGUGCAUUAGAGGGCACAGAGGCCCUUCUUGUCCAACAUGGCUGGGUGAUGAGUUUGCUGCUGAAGGUCUACAAUCUCUUUAUCUUUAUGGUGUUUCUUGGGAAAUUUUCCCUUCUUUAGGGAAGGCGUGGGAUCUUCGUCAACUAAGGUUGGUGGAUAUUGCCAGACCGAAGGACUGUCCAGAAUUCUCGUCAGUGAUUCCCAUCUCCUGGGUUGAAAGGAUUGAAAGUCUGCGUCUUGUCACGAUUAGAAGCGUCAAGCUACUAAAGUGGUUUCAAUACUCAAAAUCAGCCGAUGGAGUAAAAUUGGCAAUUUUUGGAAAAGAAGAAUCAGAUGGUCUGGUUGGACCACUAGGUGGCCAGGGUGAUGUGGAAUGGCAGCUCCCUGUUGAGCAUAUCCAGAUCGAGCGCUUAAACGAAGCAUCAAAGAUGGGAGGAGGUGAAAUAACAGCAGCGACAGAGGAAGAGGAUGAGGAAGAUGAAUUGACGACAUCAGAAGCGGAAGAGGAAGAGGAAGAUGAAUUGACGGCAUCGGGAGAGGAAGAGGAUGAGGAAGAUGAAUUGAAGUCAUCAGAAGAGGAAGAGGAUGAGGAAGAUGAAUUGACGGCAUCAGAAGAGAAAGAGGAUGAGGAAGAUUAUUUGACGGCAUCAGAAGAGAAAGGGGAUGAGGAAGAUUAUUUGACGGCAUCAGAAGAGAAAGAGGAUGAGGAAGAUGAAUUGACCUCAUCAGAAGAGGAAGAGGGUGAGGAAGAUGAAUUGACGGCAUCAGAAAAUGAAGAAAUGGAGGAAUGUGGAAUAACAGCAGCAGAAGAGGAACAUGAUGAGGAAGAUGAAAUAACAACAUCAGCAGCAUCAAAGUUGGAGGAAGAUGAAAUAACAACAGCAGCAGAGGAAGAGGAUGAUGGGGUGCUGCUCUUCCCAGCUCAUCUCUUUGACUCACUACAGGAGUUGGUCAUCUAUGGUUGCCCAGAGAUGGUCCUGAUGAACCCACCAACUCUUGUUCCUGUAGGAGGAUGGUUCCAAGCCUUGAGAUCUCUCCAGAGAUUAAGUAUACAGCUCUCCCCAAAGUUUCUGUCUGCCUUCCCGUUUUCCCGUCACCUUUUCCCUUCCUCCCUGCAGUUUGUGGCGCUUUGGGGUGUGGAAGACAUGGGGACACUGGAGCCCCUCUCAAACCUCUCCUUUCUUACCAGAUUGGAAUUGAUUGGUUGCGGAAAAGAUCUGAAAUGUCAGGGCUUGCGCUCUCUCCUUACCACCAGGGGCCAGCUCGACGAAUUAAGAGUCUUUGGCAGCACUAUGUUCUUUGCUGGUUGGGAUCCCAAUCCUAGGCAGUCUUUGGGGGGUGUCGAGGGAGAAGAGCAGCAGACACAACUUGUUUCAUCCACAGUGCAGAAGCUCAGCACUGAUGACGCAGCGGGACUCCUUGCUGCACCCAUCUGCAGCUUCCUCUCUUCCUCCCUCACCAAGCUGGAACUUCAUGGGGAUGGGUCUGAAGGGAUGAAGUGCUUCAGCAAGGAGCAGGAGGACGCCCUUCAGCUCCUCUCCUCCCUCCAGCUACUUAAGUUUCAUGGUUUCAACGACCUUCAACAACUCCCUGCAGGGCUGCGCAACAUUACCAGCCUCAAGAUAUUAUCAAUCGAAUUCUGUCGAACCAUCUCAUCGUUGCCCAAGGAUGGCCUCCCUGAUUCACUCCAAGAGCUACAUGUAUAUCCUUGGAAGCAAGAGAUUGAGUUGGGGAAAGGUCAUAAUGACAAACAAGUAAGAUGCAGCCAACAAACUCUUAUUACUAAAAACCGGCACCGCAAAGCCAAUGUGUGUUGUGAACGUGUACCAUUGCUCACUGUCGGGGAAAACAACAUAGCGGCGAGCGCAGGUGCCGUGCGUGAUGAUGUCGGUGUGGUGUAUGCCUUUGCCAAGGGACGGAAGCUCCGUCAGUCGAUCAUGGACGGAAACUGCUCUGAUUAUGCAGUUGGGCUCUUCUCUAAGCAUGUGCGUCUGCAGUUGCUGCGAGUCGAUGUUCUUCUGGUACUGCACACCGUCUUGAUGGUAGUAAUGGUUGGAAUAGGCGCCUAUGGCCAUCGAUAUCGCCACCAUCCAUUGACUCGCUACCUCUUCCUGGGUGUCACCAUGUCGUUUCUGCCCAUUGUCUCCUACAUUGUCUCCACCAUUAGUAAUCAGGAUGUCAUCGCCGUUCGGUUCAUGUGGAAAUUAGAAGAGGAAACUAUUUCAAUGGUUUGCAAGACAGACUUUCGGAGCAUCCUAGUAUGGUCUGGUCUUGUUCAGAUUGUUGGUAUCAAUACUGCUGUAAUAGUAGCUGCAGAUGCUAGAGAAGCUCGAGACAUUGCACCCCCUGUGGUAUUUCUUGUUGAAGCAAUAUGGACUUCUUACCUUAUGGCCCAACAAUGGGGUGAUCUGGAUUUUGAUGCUCGGUUGUAUUUGUUGGCACCAUCAGCUCUUAUCUUUGCCAAAUUACUUUUGAAGUAUUAUUCAUGGUACAAGGCCAGAAAAUCAUUAUCUCUUGCACGCAAUCCUCAUCUUGUCGUUGGAUACAUGAGGCAGAUACAAGAUAGAAUCCAGCAUGCCGAGCCAGCAAGUGAGCACAUACCUCCCGCACUUAUAGUUACGGGAGAGGACACUGAAUCAGUAGAGAAACAGCCUCAUGGUUAUAGCUUCAAAGGGAUAUCCAAUGGAAGAGAUGGGACAAGAAUAAACAAGAAUGGCUUAGUGACUUUGGAGAAAGCUUGGCAGAUAUGUGACAUGCUUCCCAGCUCAAUAGCACAUCAUCUCCAAGAUGUAUGCUUUUCGUUCUCAUUGUUCAAGCUUCUACGAUGUCGAUUUGCAAGGUACACAAUUGCUGAUGCUGCCUUCAUGAAGGCUCAUAACUUUUUACGGCAUAUAUUGCUCGAGAAGAGAGAUGAUGAGAGGGUACUUGGGGUGAUUGCAUAUGAGCUUACUUUUCUUCAUGAUUAUUAUUAUUCUGCCCUCGCAGUCUCGUAUUCCAAGAGUUGGCCACCCGUAUUGAGUAUAUUUAUUUCACUAUUAAGCACCUGUUACUGCUUAUUUUGGAUAGUUCGUUUCAUAGUGGGAGAGCUUGUGGAUGAUUUCAUGCAAGGAUUUUCUGUUAUACCACAGUUAGUAUGUGUCAAUAAGUGCAACACAGAAGGCAAUCAAAAGACAAAGUUUGGAAGUGAACUCUUUGAACUGCUGCCAGUGUGCUCGCUUCUUGCUCUAGUUUUGCUUACUGAGGUGAGGGAGAUUGCUUCUUACAUCUGCUCUAACUGGACAAAAGUAUCCCUUAUUCGCCUCUAUAUAAACCAUGCUUCAUGGCAACAAUCUCCUGCCAUGAAGAAAUGGGUUGGCCAUCUAUUGAAGUGCAAAUGCGAGAUGUUGAAGCAUUGGGAGGACAAAAUGAACCUGUGCUCAAUCAUAGUGCUACAUCCAAGGAAAAUUCCACUGGCUCCACUUCGCGGUCUCAUUCCUGUUCCCGACAAAAAGAAGAAGAUACCAAGAGAGGUGAAGGUUGCUAUUGUCCAAUCAUUGAGAAAGCAUGUGCAAGCCGGAAACAAUGGCAUCAUAACAUCUUUGUGCAAGAGCCCGCAGCUACAAGUCGGCGACAACCUGCUUUGGACGUUCAAUGGAGCCAAUGGUACAGCAGACAUCAUGCUUGUGUGUCACAUCGCCACCAGCAUCCUUGAAGUAAGAUCAGACCCACAGCUUCCUCCCUCUGACCACAAGAUUGUUGCUACUCACCUGUCACGGUAUUGCGCCUACCUGGUGGCCCACUGUCCUGAGCUACUCCCCGACUUCGAGCGCUGGUGUAAGAGCAUGUACAAAGCCGUCAAGAAGGAAGCAGAGCUCAUCCUCGUCGGUGUUAUCAGGCCUGAAGCAACGCCCCAAGUGAAGUACCAGAAGCUAUUCGAGCAGCUGAGCACAAGAUCAGAGCAUGAAGUACUCAAGAAUGGCGCGGAGCUCGGGAGGCUGCUGGUGGAGCUGCCCGAAGGAGAGGAGAAGGCAUGGGAGCUCCUCGCCGGCUUGUGGGCGGAGAUGCUCAUGUACGUCGCUCCAUCGGACAACCUUAAUGGGCACGCGGAGGCCAUCGCCCGUGGCGGCGAGCUGAUAACGCUCCUCUGGGCGUUGCUCGGCCACCUCGGGUGUGUCAGCAGGCCCGACGACGACGCAGCCGCUGCCACUGCAUGCUAG
rnacentral:rRNA from 1 species